rnacentral:rRNA from 1 species
CCUGUAGGUGACUGCGGAGGACAUUAUUGAUUCUGAGGGGGAAAGGACUGUCGCUGGCUUUGAGCAUGUGCACGUCCGAUCUCUUUCUUUCAUUACACACCUGUGCACCUGUUGUAGAUUCUUCGAAAGAGGAUCUAUGUUCUUUUUUACACCAACAACACCUAUUGCAUGUCUAGAGAAUGUAUCUAUACAACUUUCAGCAACGGAUCUCUUGGCUCUCGCAUCGAUGAAGAACGCAGCGAAUUGCGAUAAGUAAUGUGAAUUGCAGAUUUUCAGUGAAUCAUCGAAUCUUUGAACGCACCUUGCGCUCCUUGGUAUUCCGAGGAGCAUGCCUGUUUGAGUGUCAUUGAAUUUCUCAACUAUGUCUUGAUUUUCAAGACAUGGCUUGGAGUUGGGGGUUGCUGGCAGCGAAAAGCAGUCGGCUCCCCUGAAAUGCAUUAGCAGAGGGACGAGCAUGUGACGUGCACGGCCUUCGACGUGAUAAUGAUCGUCGUGGGCUGGAGCGUUGUUGGACAUGCAUGAAUCGUUCUUGCUUCCAACUGUGUGGUACUAUCCACGUUCUUUGAAACUUGACCUCAAAUCAGGUAGGACUACCCGCUGAACUUAAGCAUAUCAAUAAGCCGAAGGAA